AUUGUUUGGAGAGUUUGAUCCUGGCUCAGGACGAACGCUGGCGGCGUGCUUAACACAUGCAAGUCGAGCGGAAAGGCCCUUCGGGGUACUCGAGCGGCGAACGGGUGAGUAACACGUGAGCAACCUGCCCCUGACUCUGGGAUAAGCCU
rnacentral:rRNA from 1 species